CAGAUCUGCCGUUUUCACGGUUCCCUGAGCCGGCAACUCGUCGAUGGUCCGAUGCUCUGUGCCCAGGUCGUAGCUCUCCGCUCAACUCGCUAUUCCCGGGUAGGUCUGCUUUGCUUCCAGAUUCGGCGUCUGCUUAGUGGUUUUUGGGUUGUUAAUUAAGAGUUGGCAUUGAUGGUCCAGGGACAAUGUUCUUUUUUCUUUUUCUUUUUUCUCUCUUUUUUAAAAAUGGAUUUUCUGUUGAAAUAUCGGUAAAGCUUAGAAGUAGAGAAACCAGGCCAGAACAGAUGCUUUAAAAUAGGUUUGCUCUUGAAUUUAUGGUCGAACUUAAAGGUAGUAGUUCCCUAAUUAAAUUACUAUUGUUGAUUGAUUCUAGAUACUUAAAUGCUCCAGCAAAAAUUCACGCAUUAGUCUAUGUAAAUUUGGGUCAUUUUGGAUAAAUUUAAC
rnacentral:lncRNA from 1 species